CUGACCUAUGAAUUGACAGCUAGUGCUGUUGUCCGCCUCUGGCUGCCAAUUCCAUAGGUCACAG
rnacentral:pre_miRNA from 1 species